UACGUAGGGGGCAAGCGUUGUCCGGAUUUAUUGGGCGUAAAGAGCGUGUAGGCGGCCAAACAGGUCAGCUGUGAAAACUCGAGGCUCAACCUCGAGACGUCGGUUGAAACCGUUUGGCUAGAGUCCGGAAGAGGAGAGUGGAAUUCCCGGUGUAGCGGUGAAAUGCGCAGAUAUCGGGGAAGAACACCCGUGGCGAAGGCGGCUCUCUGGGACGGUACUGACGCUGAGACGCGAAAGCGUGGGGAGCGAACAGG
rnacentral:rRNA from 1 species